CGCUACGGCCAAUCAGAGAGCGGGACACGCCCCUUUCCGGGCUGGCUCGCCGAGGUGUCCAAUCACCGGCCUGCGGCCUUUGCGUCACGCGGCCUCCUGUUCCUCCCCUACGGAGCGCCUGGAGGGCGGGACCAGCGCCCGGAGCUGCAGUAGCUCAGUCUAGGUUCGGACUGCUUGUGGUCCAGGCUAAGAGGAAAGCUUCUGACUCUCUGCGGUGUGGGCCACUCACACAUUGAGCACUGACUGUGCCGGGCAUUGUAUAGAAGGAGACCGGAGCUCCAUGUGUUGCUGUGAGUUCUGGGCGCCGGACCCAACCGAAUUGCGAAGCUCAGAAAGGUCUGAGGCAGAAGGGUGGAGAAUGGAGCGCAGCCCACGAGCUCCGGAGCAGGGUACCUGGAAUGCCAAGAGUUGGGAAAGGCCUGACUUUCGUCCUUAUUCUAGGAGCAAGGGAAAGCAGGCUUUAAAUCUGAGCAGAUUUGUAUUUGAAAAGGCCACUCUAGCUGUAUUGUGAAGGGAUAGUUUGGAGGGGGAGGUCACAAUAGAUGCGAGGAGACGGGCGUGGUGGUGCGUGCCUGUAACCCCAGCACUCUGGGAGGCUCAGGCAAGAUCUGUAGUUGGAGCAACUUAGGGGAGACUGUCUCAAAAGUUUUAAAAGGGCUGAGAAUGCUGGUCAGUGCAAUGGCCCUGGGUUCAAUCUACAGUACCAGUAAAUAAAUAGAGCAAGGCUGCAAGAUCCUGUCUCAUUCAUUGCAAUAUGAAUUCCCAGGGCUUGGUGUUCAGACAACCAGCUGUGCAGAAGGUACUCAGUAAAUAUUUUUGUUGAGUGACCAAAUAUUUUCAGGUAUAGUAAGUCCCUGACUUAGGAACAUUUGCGGUUUGAACUUUCACAGGUAUACUGUACAAGAUUUACAGUUAUACUAUAUAAGACACACUGUUGGAUUACCAAUGAAUCUGACUUACAAACAUUCUCCUGGAAUGGAACUUCUUCUGAGGUUGGAGAUUUAUUGUAUUUUAUUUGGUAAUUUCCUGCUUUGAAUCAACAGAGAUUAAUGCCUAUACUUUCUGUCCCCUCAAAAUGGAAAGCAGGUAUUUGAACAAAAACUUGUACUGUUCACAAAGAUACUUUUCACAAUAGCCAAAAGGUUGCAACAACUUAAAUGUAUAUUAACUGAUGAAUGAAUAAAUAAAAUGUGGUACAGCAGAUUAUUAUUUGGCCUUCAAAAGGAAUGAAGUAUUGAUACAUGUUGUAACAUAGAUGAACCUUGAAAUUGUGCUAACUGAAAGAAGCCAGAGGCAAAAGGCCACAUGUGGUCUGAUUCCAUGUAUAUGAAAUGUCUGGAAUAGGCAAUUCCAUAAGAGAAAGUGCAUUAGUGGGUGCUGGGGUAGGGUAGGGGAUAUUGGUGAGAACUCAAUGGUUAUGGAGUUUCCUUUUGGAGUAAUUAAAAUGUUCUGAAUAUAGUGGUAAUAAUUGCACAAAAUUGUGAAUUUAGCCAGGUGUAAUCCCAGCACUUGGGAGGCUGAGGCAGGAGGAUUGCUGUGAGUUCGAGACCAGCCUGGGCUACACACAUCUCCAUGUGCAGCAGAGAUCACACUUUCAGAAGCAGCCUUCAAGCCAGUGUUGUUUUUGGAGUCUUUAAGCUGCUUAUCACCAAAUUACAACAUCAUGAAAACAUCUGCUCUUGAGAGAAGACCUCUUCCCACUGGACAUCUGGAAUCAGCUACUUCCUAUUGUCUUCCUAGCAUAGCCAACCACUGUCAGCUCUGAAAGCAUCUGUGAGCACAGUAUCCUCAUUUCCAAAUCACAGAUGCCCAGAACAAUUGUGAGCCAGUUCUGGUUGAUCCUAUAUAGAAGCCCUGAAAGAAAAUUGCAUGGAGAAAUACCUAGGUGAAGGCCAAGCAGGAGUGGCUAGACCUCUUUAGCACCUUUCAGUCAGUAAGUAUUUGCUGUUUGGAUGAAUGAAUUUUUUGUUUGCAUACAUGUGUUUGUGGCAAAUAAUUUUGCAUGUGCUAAAAGUGAAGUAAAACUGUAGCAAAUUAAUAAGCCAGAAGCUGAGAAAUACGAUCAAAUGCUUCAUUAAUAAUCACAACCGAAUCAUAUAUGGUGCUUAUGAGAUGCCAAACAUUGUUCUAGACAUUAGUUCAUUUAAUCCAUAUGCCAGCCUGAUGAUGUAGAUGCUUUCCUUGUCCUGUGUUCCCGUGGCCUGAGUGCUUCUGUGAGCAGGAUAGCUGGGUUCAUGGGUGUUAGCAAUCUGCCUUGACUGUGAUCUCCUAAUUAUGCAUUAUUGCUAAGCAUUGAGCUAAAAGCUCAGAUUUGAGUGGGACAUAGUCUCUUUCCUUAAAGACUGGUGCAACCAAAAGACAAAUAUUAUCAGAACAGUCCUAAAGUGUGUAGACCACUUAUUACUUCAAAAUUGUAUGGGAAUACUGAGACUCUACUGGGGACCUAUGAUAUACUUAGAUCCUUCAAAACAUUGCAUGGCGGUGUAAGACUUGAAUAAACUAAAGUGACUCCAUGCUAAUAGGCCAGACUGUGCUUCUUCAUAUGCUAAUUGCUACCUUGGUUAACAGCCCGCCCAGGGGCAAAUGGUUUGGCAAAAGGUGACCUUAGAACUUUUCCUGCAUAAGAUAAGCAAUGUGUUUGCAGUCUUGUUCUGUGAAUUCCCUGACUCUUUGUUUA